rnacentral:lncRNA from 1 species
GUAUAUUCAUCUUUCCCUCCCCCCCCCCGCCUCUUUCUAUCUCUCAGGGAAUGAUGAUUACGAUACUGCGAUUCUGUGGGGAACUGGUGUUGGAGUGGCUUUUUUAUCAAUCUGUGUUUUCACUUCGAUUGUUAUUAAAUCGUGCAGGAAAAGGGUUAACAAAAUGGUUAGUUUGGUAGCACCAAAAUGGCUUUUUGAAGAAUAUCCUAAGAUUCAAAACAGCAAAGUAAUCAAAUAUCUCCAGGAAAAUGAUGCUGAGACAGACAAUUUUUCUGAGCCAUUUUUGGAUGUUGUGGUAACUGAAGUUGAAGAAAUAUUGAUGCAGAACCACUACAGGGCUGUGGAGAAAAAGGUGGGGGGAAGCAAAGCAGUUUCUGAGAAAGUCAGUAGCUCAGAAGAUGUACCAUUUGCCAGCAAUUUGGAUGUGACUGCGAGAAAUGGGUACAAACCGCAGACUUCUAAUAAGGCUCAGUUGGGAACUACUUUCAGCAGCACCAGUGAAACCCCUGUUCAAAACUGGGACAACAAAUCCAAUUCAAUAGUUUUGCCCAUAAGUAAUUUAAAAAAAGAUUAUACCAGUCCUUUGGCUCCCGCAUGGCCUAUUGUUGACACCAAUGAAAAUAACUCUUUAUUUGAUAAAAUCAACCUUAUUCUAAGGAACAGUGGAAGUGGGCAGGGCAGGGCAGACUCAAAAGAUGAAGAUCCAAGCACCCAAAAGGCACACCAGUUGAGGUUUCUGCUUUCAGGUGAAGAUAUUCAAGAACAGACUUUAAUACCAGAUAGUCUACUUUCUUGCUUAAAAACAAUAAGCGAAGACCAGACCAACAUGGCUUAUUUCCCUCAAAAUGCUGUUUGCUAUGAGGAUUGAAGAAAAAGAAUACACAUUUUGCACGAAGAACACAAACUUUGCAUUUUCAAGAAGCGUAGCUGAAGGUUCUCCAUUCAUUGUUUGAACAAAAUUGAAAAAAGUAAGACGCAGCCACAAUCUCAGUUUUCAUCUCUCAGAUUAAUUCAUGUUAAAACAUAUAAAGAACAGUUGCUGGAAUUGGGUACGUCUAGUUUAAUGAAAAGGAGGACUAGGGGGGGUGACAUGAUAGCAGUGUUCCAAAAUCUCAGGUGCUACCAAAAAGAAGAGGGAGUCAAGCUAUUCUCCAAAGCACCUGAAGGCAGGACAAGAAACAAUGGAUGGAAACUAAUCAAGGAGAGAAACAACCUAGAACUAAGAAGUUUCCUGACAGAACAAUUAAUCAGUGGAACAACUUGCCCC